rnacentral:lncRNA from 1 species
CCGGGGCCUUCCCUCAUCUGACUGGCUCUCCCAGCGUCCUGCAGAUGGCAGGGGAAGCAGGACAUGGCCCACGGUGAAGACAGCUGCAGCCCGCCUCCCUGCAUGCCUUCCUGUGAGGAUGCCCCGUGACUGACUCAGAACCCCCGAGGCCACACCAGGCCCGGCUCCCCAAAUGCCUCCCACAACCCAGAAUGGAGGGGCCCAAAAAAACGGAGGGCCUGGGACCUGGAGGGAGUGGGCCUCUGGUGGAUGGUAGGAGUGAGAAGGAGCUUCUCUCUUUGGCCAGGGACGAGGGUGGUCUGGCAUCCUGGCAGAGGCACCAGGCAGUGAGGACAAUGAGGGCUGGAUAUGGAUGUCAGACCCAUCUAUCCUCGUGGGAGUGGGGUACAGCUGGGACCCAUCUAUCCUCCCAGGAGCAGAGUGCAGCUGGGAUAAUUAUCAAUGCUUUUUCCAUGUAAUGACAAAAUGCACUUUUAGCAAAAAGCUCUAAAUCAUUUCUGAG